ensembl:lncRNA
UGAAGGAGCCCGAGUGAUGCUGACCAGAAACUUGGACACACUAAACGGUUUGGUCAAUGGUGCUUUUGGUAUACUGAUAAAGGUGGUGAGAUCUGAAAAUGAUGGACAAAUAAUUAAACUGGGGCUCAGAAUGGACAACCGGCAGCCUAUGAGACACAACCGCAGUGCUAAUGCAGCAUCUGAUGAUCUGGUUUACAUUGAGAGAGCAGAGGAGAGUCUGAAGUUUAAAGGAGCGCAGGGUGACGUCUCUCAGUGGACUCUAUUUGCAGGACUUGGAUGAGAACAAGAUUUAUGCCAAUCCCGAGGUAACUGCAGCGCUCCAAACCAUGAGACAAGCCAAUGUUGAAGAAAUGAUGCCUCUUCUUCAGAGUCUCACCUCCAAGGCUCCUUUGUUGCAGACAGUCUUCAUUUGGACGGCUACACCAUGUUCA